rnacentral:rRNA from 1 species
ACGAACGCUGGCGGCGUGCUUAACACAUGCACGUCGAACGGAAAGGCCCUGCUUUUGUGGGGUGCUCGAGUGGCGAACGGGUGAGUAACACGUGAGUAACCUGCCCUUGACUUUGGGAUAACUUCAGGAAACUGGGGCUAAUACCGGAUAGGAGCUCCUGCUGCAUGGUGGGGGUUGGAAAGUUUCGGCGGUUGGGGAUGGACUCGCGGCUUAUCAGCUUGUUGGUGGGGUAGUGGCUUACCAAGGCUUUGACGGGUAGCCGGCCUGAGAGGGUGACCGGCCACAUUGAGACUGAGAUACGGCCCAGACUCCUACGGGAGGCAGCAGUGGGGAAUAUUGCACAAUGGGCGGAAGCCUGAUGCAGCAACGCCGCGUGCGGGAUGACGGCCUUCGGGUUGUAAACCGCUUUCGCCUGUGACGAAGCGUGAGUGACGGUAAUGGGUAAAGAAGCACCGGCUAACUACGUG